rnacentral:snoRNA from 1 species
AAGACUAUACUUUCAGGGAUCAUUUCUAUAGUUUGUUACUAAUCUCAUAGCAUUGUGGUCAGAAAAGAUGCUUGAUAUGAUUUCAAUUUUCUUAAAUUUACUGAGGUUUGAUUUAUCACCCAAGAUGCAAUCUAUCCUGGAGAAUGUUCUGUGUGCA